GGGUCGUUAGCUCAGUUGGUAGAGCAGCGGACUCUUAAUCCGCGGGUCGUAGGUUCGAUCCCUACACGACCCA
rnacentral:tRNA from 1 species